UUCCGGUUGAUCCUGCCGGACCUGACUGCUAUCGGAUUGGUACUAAGCCAUGUGAGUCGUUGUAGCAAUACAAGGCAUACGGCUCAGUAAUACGUAGUCAAUCUAACCUAUGGACGGGGAUAACCUCGGGAAACUGAGGAUAAAACCCGAUAGAUCAUAAUGCCUGGAACGGUUUAUGGUUCAAAUGAUUCGUCGCCGUAGGGUGGGACUGCGGCCUAUCAGCUUGUUGGUGAGGUAAUGGCCCACCAAGGCUAUUACAGGUACGGGCUCUGAGAGGAGUAGCCCGGAGAUGGGUACUGAGACACGGACCCAGGCCCUAUGGGGCGCAGCAGGCGAGAAACCUUUGCAAUGUGCGCAAGCACGACAAGGUUAAUCCGAGUGUUUCCUGUUAAAGGAAUCUUUUGUUAGUCGUAAAAUCACUAUUGAAUAAGGGGUGGGCAAGUUCUGGUGUCAGCGGGGCGCGGUAAAACCAGCACCUCAAGUGGUCAGGAUGAUUAUUGGGCCUAAAGCAUCCGUAGCCUGUUCUGAAAGUUUCCGGUUAAAUCCAUUAACUCAACUAAUGGGCUGCCGAAAAUACUGCAGAACUAGGGAGUGGGAGAGGUAGACGGUACUCGGUAGGAAGGGGUAAAAUCCUUUGAUCUAUUGAUGACCACCUGUGGCGAAGGCGGUCUACCAGAACACGUUCGACGGUGAGGGAUGAAAGCUGGGGGAGCAAACCGGAUUAGAUACCCGGGUAGUCCCAGCUGUAAACGAUGCAAACUCGGUGAUGCGCUGGCUUGUGGCCAGUGCAGUGCCGCAGGGAAGCUCGUUAAGUUUGCCGCCUGGGAAGUACGUACGCAAGUAUGAAACUUAAAGGAAUUGGCGGGGGAGCACCACAAGGGGUGAAGGCCUGCGGUUCAAUUGGACUCAACGC
rnacentral:rRNA from 1 species